rnacentral:piRNA from 1 species
AUCCACAUGGAUGUUAAUUUUCUUGAUGGC